rnacentral:lncRNA from 1 species
UCCAAACCAGACAGUUCUGAUUCUACAGGUGAGCUAAAUGGACCGCGUUAAGCAGAAGGAACCAAGCCACAUCAGCUAUUGCCAAAUUUAACUCAGCAAAUAAUUUUUUACAAGAAACCGUUCGUGUGGAUUCCUUUGAUAAUUUUAGGGGAUUUGCCUCGUGUUAUGCAGAAAAUUCACUGAAAUUUGCACAAAAAUCCGCACAACUGUUUUUAUGUAAAAAAUAAAAUUGCUUAGUUAAAUUUGGCAACAACUGAUGUGGCUUGGUUCCUUUCUGCUUAACGCGGUCCAAUAUGAAUGAGACUUGCUUGCGAGGUGGAGCUUGGCUCGCACUGCCGGACAUUUUUUUAGUGAAUAUUGCAUGGAGAGGAAAAUGAGGGAUAACUUAAGGCGAUUCGUCAAGCUCAAGUGACGUGUUCGAACUGGCAUGCGAUAUAUCGCAUCGAUUAGGUAAAAAAUCUCGGCAGAUUUUGAAUUUUUAGCAAAAAAAAGGACGAUGAGCCUAAACAAUCAUUCCAAUCCCAAAAAUUGGCACAAUUCAGAGAAAUGAAAGCAGAAAUAUUGUUUGGGAAAAAAACCUUGCACUCGAAGUAGUUAUCAAUUCCUGUAUCGAAUGCGAGGUUUUUUUCUAACACUAUUCUGCUUUCAUUUCUCUGAAUUUGCAGAUUUUUGGGUUUAGAAUGAUUCUUUAGGCUCAUGCGCAGGGGCUACCCCGGCUAUAUCGUCCUUUUUUUGCUAAAAAUUAAAAAUCUGUUGAGAUUUUUGACCUAAUCGGUGCGAUAUAUCGCAUGCCAGUUCGACCAUGUCACUUGAGCUCGACGAAUCACCUUAAGCCGAGCGCUAAGCAUGAUGAAUGUGCGGAAAAGUGCGGUGAUUAAACGUAUAGUCAAUUGGAAAUAAUGUAAUUAUUGCACCGAAGUAAAAUACAUUUAUGAAACUUUUUUUAUUUUCAGUACAUGGAAAGUGUUCAGUUGAAAUAUCAUGCUUCAGCUAACGAGAAAGGAGUUUACGUAAUCACUGGUUGCGGUUUAUCCGGCGUUCCCGCCGACGUAGGAACUAUUUUCCUGCGAAAACAGUUCGAUGGAGCUCUUAAUUCCGUGGAAAUUUUCUUGUCAGCAGAGGAGCAAACCCUUCGGUGAGAAAAAUAAAGUAAGUGUAAUGUCGUAUUUUAUUGGUCCAUCAGAUAUUU